AUGGAUCUCCGCCGCGGUAGCAUGUUGCGGCAACGAAAGCUGGCGAUAGAGACGGACAGCAAGGGCGAACGGGCGACGCGGGAGGGGGAGGAGGAGGAUGAGCCGGUGAGCCCGGUGGGGCGGCUGUUUCUAGAGCCGCGCUUCUGCUGGUACAUCGUGUGCGUGCUCGGCCUCGGCGCCCCGGUCGACCUGGCUGGUUUGCGGGCUGGGAUCGAGGCCACCCUCCUGCGCCACCCGCGCUUCUGCAGCGUAGUAGUGAUGGACGAGUUGGAGGAGGGCACGGGCCCAAAGUGGGUCCGAACCACGGUGGAACUAGACGAACACAUCAUCGUCCCAAACCUUGACCCCACCGCCAUGUUGAUUGAGCCGGACAGGACUCUCGAGGACUACUUGUCUUCCCUGUCCACGCUACCCAUGGACCACUCCCGUCCCCUCUGGGAGUUUCAUGUCUUGGACUUUCCCACCUCCGAGGCCGCUGCGGCCCUUGCUUUCCGGGCACACCACUCCCUUGGGGAUGGCACCUCGCUACUAUCCCUUCUCGUUGCAUCUGCCGGCUCGUCUAAGGUGUUGCCAACCACCGCCCCGCGCCGUGUCAGCACAAUAAAAGCCUUGUCACCGCGCUCGCCUUCAUCCGCGGACAAGGGUGCCAUGGUUGUUUUCACUGUCUGGAUCAUGUCUUUACUUCUUAUUGUGUGGCACACCAUUGUGGAUAUAGCGUGUUUUGUCGCGACUGCCGCAUCGAUGCUACGCGACCCACCGGCGUUGUUCAAAGGUGCUGAUGGCGUCGAGUUCCGGCCCAAGUGCUUCCUGAACCGCAAACUGAGCCUCGACGACAUCAAGUAUGUCAAGAGCGUCAUGUGUUGUACUGUCAAUGAUGUUCUGCUUGGAGUGAUUUCUGCUGCCUUGUCUCGCUAUUAUUUCCGGAAAACAGGUGAAACCGGCAAAAGGAACAUCAAGGUGCGAUCCACAUUUAUAGUCAACCUAAGGAAGAUGACUGGCCUACAUACACUAGCUAGCAUGAUGAAAUCGGGCGAAGACAACGACGUGAAGUGGGGAAAUCAGCUCGGCUACAUGCUACUCCCGUUCCAUAUAGAAAAGCAUGACGACCCUCUCAAGUAUGUCGAGAAGGCAAUGCGGGUAGCACACAGGAAGAAGAGCUCCAUGGAAUCGGUCUUCACGAACUGGAGCGCAUCGAUGAUACAGAAAAUCUUCGGUAGUAAGGCAACAGCUUCUCUAUGCUAUGCCUUGUUCAAGAACACCACCAUUUUGUUCUCCAACAUGGUUGGACCAACUGAGCAGGUAGCUUUGUAUGGCCACCCCAUCCUCUACAUUGCCCCAAGCAUCUAUGGUCAACCACAUGCACUGACUAUUCACUAUCAGAGUUACAUGAACAUUGUCAAGCUAGUCUUAGCAAUAGAUGAAGCACAACUUCCAAAUGUUGAUGGCCUUUUGGAGGAUUUCAUCGAGUCUCUCAAGCUAAUUAGAGAGGCAGCUUCAGGAAAACCACGUGUUGUCGAAGAGCGUUCGCGGGAAGAACAUAGACAUGGAGAGACAUGA
rnacentral:rRNA from 1 species